UACGUAGGGGGCUAGCGUUGUCCGGAAUCAUUGGGCGUAAAGCGCGUGUAGGCGGCCCGGUAAGUCCGUUGUGAAAGUCGGGGGCUCAACCCUCGAAAGCCGGUGGAUACUGUCGGGCUCGAGUGCGGAAGAGGCGAGUGGAAUUCCUGGUGUAGCGGUGAAAUGCGCAGAUAUCAGGAGGAACACCGAUUGCGAAGGCAGCUCGCUGGGACGUUACUGACGCUGAGGAGCGAAAGCGUGGGGAGCGAACAGG
rnacentral:rRNA from 1 species